UGGGUUUGAUUCUAGCUCAGAGUGAACGCUUAUGAUAUACCUAACACAUGCAAGUCGAACGCAUUCUUAUAAUAGUUUGAGUGGCGAACGGGUGCGGAUUAGAGAUUGUUCUUACAAAACGCUUUCAUUUAUACGCAGGAACUAUUGUUUUGGCAUAGAAAAUGAAUAGGGCAUAAGUUAGUGAAUUUUCACUUUCACCAAUUUGGUCUAAAAAUUUAUUUUGCGUUUCGGUCAUCUCGUAGGAUCAUGGUAGUUGGUUUGAUAACAGCAAACCAAGCCUGCGACCCUUAGUUGUUUCUGAGAGGAGGAUUAACCACACUGGAACUGUAAACGGUCCAGACUUCAUUUCAAGGCAGCAGUGAGGAAUAUUGGACAAUGGGCGAAAGCUUGAUCCAGUAAUAUCAUGUAAACGACAGAAGGCCCUCGGUCGUAAAGUUUGUUUUGAUUUUCUUGACUUCGUAUAAAGUAAAAGUAGAAUCAGUCCCGGCCAACUUCGUGCCAGCAGCUGCGGUAAAACGGGGGGGACAAGUGUUAUUCUUUGGACUGGGCGUAUAGCGUGCGUAGGUUGUACUUGUAGAAUUUAAAUUAACAUAUGUUUUUAUUAUACUUAAUUUUUAUUUCUAAGAACUUGAAUUUAUUUAAGCGGCCAGUACUCGAGUUGGAGGGGUGGAAUCCUUAGAUUGCUUAGGGGACUACCAAACGUGGAAGUUGAAAUCUUAUUUAAAUUGACGCUGAGGCACGAAAGCAUGGGUAUCGAUCGGGAUUAGAGACCCCAGUAGUCCAUGCUGUAAACGAUGGGUUUGCAAUAAUUUUUUUUUAUUGAUUUGAAAGCUAUAAAAUCCCGCCUGAGUAGUAUUACCGCAAGGUUGAAAUUCAAAGAAAUUGACGGAGAUUCGUACAAGCGGUGGAGCAUGUGGUUUAAUUUGAUAUAACACGUAAACUCUUACCAACCCUGAACUUCGAUUUUAUUUACUCUUGACUUAAUAAGUUAAUGUUUUAAAAUUGUCUAGGUGCUGCAUGGCUGUCGCCAGCUCGUGCCCUAUGGUGUUCGGUUAAGUCCGGUAACGAGCGCAAUUCCUACAUACCUGAAGCUUAUUAGUUUAAGUUUCAAUUUUAGCUGUCUUAAUGCCAGCCCUGUUUAACUAAUCAGAUGUGUCAUAACGAUUACCCGUUGUUGAGAAUGGAACGACGUCAAGUCAUCAUGGCCCUUAUGGGUUGGGCCACUCACGUGCUACAAUGCCUAUUCCAAAAGAAGUUAAUCAGAGAUGUUUAAUUAAUCUUAAAUUUAGGCUUAGUUCAUAUUGAACUUUUUUAUUCGAGUUCAUGAAGCUGGAAUCGCUAGUAAUCGUGCAUCACAAAGGUACGGUGAAUGUGCCAACGAGUCUUGUACACACCGCCCGUCACGCCAUGGAAGUUGGUGGCUUUUCAGAAUUUGUUAAAACGUGUUAAAUCAAGAUUUUAAAUUUUUACAA
rnacentral:rRNA from 1 species